rnacentral:rRNA from 1 species
AAGGCUAUGAACCUUUUCUUCUGGGAAGAGGGGAGCCAUCAGUGAGAUACCACUCUUGGUAAGCUAGAGCGCUCAGUCUUCACCGUCAUCCGGUAAGACGACAGUUUCAGGCGGGCAGUUUGACUGGGGCAGUCACCUCCCAAAAGGUAAUGGAGGUGUGCAAAGGUUCCCUCAGGCUGGACGGAAAUCAGCCAUAGAGUGUAAAAGCAAAAGGGAGCUUGACUGCGAGACUGACAUGUCAAGCAGAGACGAAAGUCGGCUUUAGUGAUCCGACGGUGCUGUGUGAAAAGGCCGUCGCUCAACGGAUAAAAGUUACUCUAGGGAUAAC